GAUGAAGAACGCAGCGAAAUGCGAUACGUAAUGUGAAUUGCAGAAUUCAGUGAAUCAUCGAAUCUUUGAACGCACAUUGCGCCCCCUGGUAUUCCGGGGGGCAUGCCUGUCCGAGCGUCAUUGCUGCCCUCAAGCACGGCUUGUGUGUUGGGCCUCCGUCCUCCUCCCGGGGGACGGGCCCGAAAGGCAGCGGCGGCACCGCGUCCGGUCCUCGAGCGUAUGGGGCUUCGUCACCCGCUCUUGUAGGCCCGGCCGGCGCUUGCCGACACAUCAAUCUUUUUUCCAGGUUGACCUCGGAUCAGGUAGGGAUACCCGCUGAACUUAAGCAUAUCAAUAAGCGGAGGA
rnacentral:misc_RNA from 1 species